AUCUGCUUCACUUUGCUCAUUAAUUUUGCUAGGGGUCGAAAAAAUAAUGGAACUUGAAUUUAAAUGUCCUCUAUCUCAUUACUGGAAAGUCUGUUACAUCCUCUGCUAUUUUCUUAUGCCAGCUACGGUUUUGUUUCUUCUGAGCUUGGCUUUUCAGCCAGAAUGUCCUAAUUCUGUCAUGGGAUGCUGCAAUAUUCACUGUCUUUGGAAGACGUUCUUGCCUUCUAUUAUAUGGACUGUCAUUCUUCUCCUGGAUGGAAGAUACGUGGCUUGUCUGUAUAAAGCAUCUGAAGAAAUCAUCACAGCAGACAAUAAGGAACAGCCCAGUGACAGUUACGUAAAAUCACAGAUUUCGGGUCUAGGCCUCACUCUCGGGAUUGUCUUCAUUUUAUUCGUUUACAAGAGGUCACAGUGCUGCAAAAGAGAGCGCAACCGUGAAAAUCCAGGCUCCCCAGAGCCUCAGGGCACUGAGCUCCCACGGAGGAGGGUCAAUCAGUCCUCAUCGACAAACGAUCCCGACCCCACGCUCCAGGAGCAGCCUUUCCUUGGAUCGCCAGCCCCGCCGCCAAGCACGCAGGAAGAGGGCACAGAGCAAGUGUAAAAAUUUGGGAGAGGGGUGGGAGGCAACAGACGCCGAUGUGAGAAAAAGCCUCAACCAUCGGGACUGUCCCCAUAAAAUCAGGACAUCUGAUCACCCGAGCACCGAGUAGAAGGGGACCGAAUCAGGGCUUGGGGGGAAUCCAGCGGAGGGGGGCAUAACUGCUGGGGGACUCUCAUGGGAAGACUGUGCCCCCUUGUCACGGAGUCCCCGGGCGAUGCUCUGGAACUGCUCCCCACAAAGCCAGGCAGGACUCUGGUGAAGUCUCCUCUCUGUGAGCUGCCUGUCUGCAGGACACACAGCUCACCCGGCUCCACCUUCCUGGGUCUGACCUCGGAGCCUCCAGCCUCCCCUGCCCCUCCGUGCGCUUCCCUCCAGCGAGUCCGCCCAGGCGGGGUCCUGGGGAAGCCAGAGGGUCCUGCCCCCCAACUCCGCAGUCAGACGUGACUCUCAGCCAGCCAGUAAAACAGAAGGUUUAUUAGACGACAGGAACAUGGUCUAACACAGAGCUUGUAGGUGCAGAGAACAGGACCCCUCAGCUGGGUCCAUUUUGUGGGGCAGUGAGCCAGAAAACCACGUCUGCCCUUCACUCCAUGUCGCCAGCCAGCCCCAAACCGACUCCCCCUCCAGCCCCCCCUCCUCUGGGCCUUGUCCCUUUCCCGGGCCAGGAGGGCACCGGAUUCCUUUGUUCUCCAACCCUUUAGCUCUCACCUUGCAGGGGGAAGGGCCCAGGCCAUCCGUGGCCAGGAAACAAGGUGUCGGCCAUUCUCUGUGUCCAGACCCCUGCACACACCUGCCCUCUAGGGCUCUGCAGUGAUCAUACACCCUUACCCCACCCCCUAGAUACUUAAGAACUGCCUAGGGGAAACUGAGGCACCCCCACACUAUUCAGAGGAAACAUUAAGAACAGUCUCACUUCAUCACAUCUCUCCCCAGCAGCCAGGGCCAGCAAGGGAUGACAAAAAUAAGACUGCUUCGUUCAUGUGUGACCAAAGCAGGGUCGCCUUUUAAUUCUCGGCCCCGUCUUGCUUCCGCCAUGUAAGCUAGGCCUCUUAGGACAAGGGGCCCUGAGUCUCCACCUCUAAUGGAAACAAGGCACGUUACCAAGUCCUCUGCGGGUCUUGCUCCCCGCUGAGUCAACAGGAAGUGGGCUGAUGCAGAAGCGGGCACCGGAAAUGCAGUGGCGACCCGCGCCCAAGCUCAUUUCCUGAGCGAGGGCGAGGCGGAAAGAGAGCGAGAUCAGUGGAGGCAGAUAAUCCUCCCAGUUCAGCCCUGCUCCUCGGAGGUGGCCCCAGAGCGGCCCCCCGUGGCCGCCCCCGGGGUGCUCGGGGUCGCAGGCGGGACCGCGAUGCGCUGGUCACCCCAGCUCUCUGUCAGAGGCCCGGUGCGGGGAGGCAGGCGGGAGCUGUGCCGGGGACACUGUUGCGAGGCAGAUUUAGCCACAUCCAGAAGCUUCCGGAUUUGGGUGGGGUCGUUUUGGGCCUGCUCCAGUAGGUUCCCUGCUGCUGGGGUCAGAGUCCAGCUGCUUUUCAGGGGGCAGGGCCAUCCCCAGGGGGACCCGGGUUAGAGGCGCCCAGUGUCCAUCUGCCGGGGGGGGAGCUCCCCACAGCUCCGCCCAGGCCACACCCCUGUGCCACCCCUUCCCCACCCAGUUCCACCCCCUCGUUCCUCCCCCUUCCCCCCCAGCGCCUCCAGAUGCCGCACAUCAGCUGGGUACCAAAGGCUCAAAAACUAGGAAAGAAAUAACAUCCCCCCCCACGUAGCAUUUCUUUAAAUGCCUCCUCCACGCUACCCUCCGGAGUUGUGAGGUCGGACCCUUGGUCACUGAGUGCUAGGAGCUGUACUGUGGUUUAUAUCCACCCACCCGGUCCCUGCUGCGGGAGACGUGUCUCUCCCUCGGGCGGCCCAUCGCCAAGGCCAGAGGCUGUCGGACCGUGCCCCGGGCUGCAGCUGGGGAGAGGCAGGACGGCUGGAAGCCCACCUUGCCCAGUUCACUGGGGCGGCCUGGAGUCUCCGCCGCUGGGCCUCGGUCGCACCUCCCGUCUCCAUCCCGGCAGGCUCCGCAAACAGACUUGUUGGGGACACUGAGGCAUGGCCACUAGGUAACUCGAAGGGAUGGAAAACGACACGAGUCGAUGAAGCCCCCUCGCACUAGGCCCAAGUGUCCUUGGCCCCCCCGCCUGGAGGCACUCGCAGCAGUUAUGCUGAGGAUCUGCAACAAUACGUUGCAGAAUCAGAGUGCCUGAAACUAAGCAAGGCCGAACAGGGCAGAUAUGGAAGAACAAUGCUAAAUAAAGCAGCUUUAUGUAUAGGUUAACAAAUGAUACAGAAAACAAGGGAACUAGCUGGGAACUGGAUUGGCUGGCUAGAUGGAUACUUAGGGCAGCUUGCUAUUAAAUAAGUAUGCUGGAAAAAAGGAUGUAUAAAAGCCUGUGUAACUUCCUGCUCUGGUCGCAGGAUUUGAGAUUUUAUUCUCCCUGUACCUUUUUGUAGCUGCAAAUAAAUUUUUCUGCUUCUCCA